CCACACACAGAAACACCCACACACGCACGCACACAAACACACACACAAGCGCACACAAACACACACACAAGCGCACACAAACACACACACAAGCGCACACAAACACACACACACAAGCGCACACACGUUUCAUUUGACAUUGUACGCCAAUGAAGACAGUAUGAGCGCUGAAGCAGACAUGCUUUGUGUUUCUGUGUGGUGGUUUGUCCGCAUCGUUCAUCAGCCUCAUCUCCUAACCCUAACCCUAGCCUCUCCUAACCCUAAACCUAACCCUAUUCCCUACACAACGACUGGCAUGUAUCAGUUCAGUUAUGCCAAAAUAUCUGUGUUAUACUUGUUUUCUAUAUUAUUAUGAUUUGAUAUGGAAGGAGACGGGGCCAAUAACGUUAAAACGCUUCUCCGAGCGUGAACAGGUGAGAGUUGUCAACAUUGAACCCUGAAGUAAGCUGGUCCCCAAAGGCUUGGUCAUCCUUUGACCACAGGGGGCGCUAGAGCUCCCAGCCUUAACGUCCACUGCCCUCGCCCCGAUUUAUUACCAAUACCAUUGAUCUGUAUCUUUAAAGUUAACCAUGAACCCAAAUAACCGAAUGACCAAUGUGGUAAACAUGGGUAACUUAAGGUUUGGAGAAAUCACAAUGAACAAUCCUGUUCAAUGUCCAAGGACCUUAAUGCGCUGACAAAUCAUUCAAACAAGAACAGGUCUGUUAAGUCAGCCGGAAACAGUUCAGUGGCCUGCUUGUGAUUAGCCUUGCUAGCACUAGGGUGUUGGCAAGCCUGCAUUCAUUAAAUCGUAAUCCUCCAUUGCAAAAAAACAUUAUUUUAUUGCCAAAUUAUUCUUGUUUUGUAAAGUUUUCCACUUUCUGAAUUCUCUCUCUCUCUCUCUCUCUCUCUCUCUCUCUCUCUCUCUCUCUCUCUCUCUCUCUCUCUCUCUCUCUCUCUCUCUCUCUCUCUCUCUCUUUCUCUCUCUCUCUCUCUCUCUCUCCCCCUCUCUCCCUCUCCCUCUCUCUCUCUCUCCUACCUUUAUCCAUGCAUGCAAACUUAAAAUCUUGUAGGCAUGCAGCAAUCACUUAGCCUAACAAUAUGUUGGUAGCAUGAAGCAAUUAGUUAGUCUAACAAUAUGUUGGUAGUAUGUAACACUGAGUUAGCGCGACAAUAUCUUGUUAGCAUGUAGCAGAGUGUUAGCCUGACAAUAGCUUGUUAGCAUGUAGCAGUGUGUUAGCCUGACAAUGUCGUGUUAGCAUGAAGCAGUGUGUUCAAUAUCAUAACGAACUUCUUUCAUGUUUGAAUCUGGGUUUAACCAACGAGGUCAACGCUGUAUCGUGUUACCUGAACAAAGUGAGUGUGAUGUAAUGCUAAAUGUUUCGGUUCUCAUCUGAGCUAAACCUGCUUCUCGUUUGCAGCUCCUUACGGUUAGAGUAGGACUUCAGGAUUUAUACCACUGUUAUAAUGUAUGAUCAUCUUUCAUAAAACAUAUAGAAAAUGACCUUAUUCUCUGUGGAAAAGGUAUUGAUAUCAUAUCUAUAUUAUGUGGUUAGAUGACCUCUUCAGCAAACAUCUACCAAAACUGUAGCAGAAUGUGUCCAACCAGUAGUUUUCUACAAUAAAGAAUUUUCCUAAAUAA
ensembl:lncRNA